CUUGCCUGUGCUAACGUCAAAACGCAGCAAAACACAAAACUCCACAAAACUCAAGGCCUUCCACAGACCGUGCACCCCUUUAUGAUUUCUUGGUUGAAAAAUAACAGUCAAAUUUGCUGGGCAUUUGCAUAAAGAAAAGACCAGCCAGGCACCGUGUCUCAAGCCUGUAAUCCCAGCACUUUAGGAGGCCGAGGCAGGAGAAUCGCUAGAGGCCAGGAGCUUGAGACCAGCCUGGGCAACACAGCAAGACCUUGUCUCUACAAAAAAUUAAGAAAAUUAACUGGCCAUGGUGACGCACACCGGUGGUCCUGGCUACUUCGGAGGCUGAGGCAGGAGGAUCACUUGAGCCUGGUAGGCAGAGGCUGCAGUGAGCCAUGAUUGUGCCACUGCACUCCAGCCUGGGUGACAAAGUGAGACCAUCUCUCAAAAAAAAAAAAAAGGCCUUUUCUCCUUGUUGACUAUUUUACAGUUUGCCAAGGCCUUUCACACAUUUUCUCAUUUGAGAUUACAACCACUUGGCAAGAAAUGUAUUAUUACUAUACUCAUUUCAAAAUUGAUGAAGCUAAAAGGUCAAUGCCUUAACCAAGGUUGUAUGUAUUUACUGUGCAUAAUAUAUAGUCAAGGUCUAGGUCAACGGUAAUCUUUGUUCGCCUCCUUCAAAUAUCAGUCUCAGCACAUGCUGUGUCAGCUGCGCUUCAGAGACCUGAACUUCUUUGAUUCCUGGUCCAGCUAUACCAUUAGGCUAUAACCUCCAUGAAGGUAAGGCAGGAGCCUAUUCGUUUGCCACUGUAUCAGCAAAAUCAGG
rnacentral:lncRNA from 1 species